rnacentral:rRNA from 1 species
UAGGGAAUCUUCCACAAUGGACGCAAGUCUGAUGGAGCAACGCCGCGUGAGUGAAGAAGGUUUUCGGAUCGUAAAGCUCUGUUGUUGGUGAAGAAGGAUAGAGGUAGUAACUGGCCUUUAUUUGACGGUAAUCAACCAGAAAGUCACGGCUAACUACGUGCCAGCAGCCGCGGUAAUACGUAGGUGGCAAGCGUUGUCCGGAUUUAUUGGGCGUAAAGCGAGCGCAGGCGGAAGAAUAAGUCUGAUGUGAAAGCCCUCGGCUUAACCGAGGAAUUGCAUCGGAAACUGUUUUCUUGAGUGCAGAAGAGGAGAGUGGAACUCCAUGUGUAGCGGUGGAAUGCGUAGAUAUAUGGAAGAACACCAGUGGCGAAGGCGGCUCUCUGGUCUGCAACUGACGCUGAGGCUCGAAAAGCAUGGGUAGCGAACAGGAUUAGAUACCCUGGUAGUCCAUGCCGUAAACGAUGAGUGCUAAGUGUUGGGGAGGUUUUCCGCCUCUCAGUGCUGCAGCUAACGCAUUAAGCACUCCGCCUGGGGGAGUACGACCGCAAGGUUGAAAC